rnacentral:lncRNA from 1 species
CUCCUGCCUGCACGCCUCCCGCUGUGGUCCACUGCCGGUGGUCUUCAGCUCUCUCCUCGUCCCACCCCCAUGGUCUGCUGACAGCCCAGCUCAGUGCAUCCCUGCCAUCUCUGCUCUACCGCUGGUCCUCCCAACAACCAACUUACAGGGUUUCACUCCCGUCACCCAGACUGGAGUACAAUGGUGCGAUCUCAGCUCACUGCAACCUCUGCCUCCUGGGCUUAAGCGAUUCUCCUGCCUUGGCCUCCCAAGUAGCUGGGAUUACAGGUGCCUGCCACCACUCCUGGCUAAUUUUUGUAUUUUUUGUAAAGGCGGAGUUUCUCCAUGUUGCCCAGGCUAGUCUCAAACUCCUGAGCUCAAGCAAUCCACCCGCCUCGGCCUCCCAAAUAAGUGGAAUUAUAGGUGUGAGCCACCACGCCGGCCCUGAUGUAUCAAUAUUAAAACAUUUUCUUCAGCCUACAAGUUCUUCUUUUUCUUAUUUGGAUGCAAACUAAAACAUUUUGUGGGCCCUUAGAUUGAACAUUCUCAUGGGUCCUGUGCCUCCUGUGCGUCAUGGAGAAGGCAGCCCUGCAUGGCUCUCACAUCCUCUUCCCCCACGCAAAUG